GACGAACGCUGGCGGCGUGCUUAACACAUGCAAGUCGAACGGAAAGGCCCUGCUUUUGUGGGGUGCUCGAGUGGCGAACGGGUGAGUAACACGUGAGUAACCUGCCCUUGACUUUGGGAUAACUUCAGGAAACUGGGGCUAAUACCGGAUAGGAGCUCCUGCUGCAUGGUGGGGGUUGGAAAGUUUCGGCGGUUGGGGAUGGACUCGCGGCUUAUCAGCUUGUUGGUGGGGUAGUGGCUUACCAAGGCUUUGACGGGUAGCCGGCCUGAGAGGGUGACCGGCCACAUUGGGACUGAGAUACGGCCCAGACUCCUACGGGAGGCAGCGGUGGGGAAUAUUGCGCAGUGGGCGGGAGCCUGAUACGGCGACGCCGCGUGCGGGAUAACGGCCUUCGGGUUGUAAACCGCUUUCGCCUGUGACGAAGCGUGAGUGACGGUAAUGGGUAAAGAAGCACCGGCUAACUACGUG
rnacentral:rRNA from 1 species